rnacentral:tRNA from 1 species
GUUAACGUAGCUUAAAUGUAAAGCAUAACACUGAAGAUGUUAAGAUGGGCCCAGAAAAGCUCCGUGAACA